rnacentral:tRNA from 3 species
GACUCGUUCGUCUAUCGGUUAGGACUCCAGGUUUUCAUCCUGGCAAGAAGGGUUCAACUCCCUUACGAGUCGCCA